rnacentral:rRNA from 1 species
GACGAACGCUGGCGGCGUGCUUAACACAUGCAAGUCGAACGGUAAGGCCUUUCGGGGUACACGAGCGGCGAACGGGCGAGUAACACGUGGGUGAUCUGCCCUGCACUCGGGGCUAACCCUGGGAAACGGGGUCUAAUACGGGAUAUGACCUCAACAUGGAUGAACUGGGGUGGAAAGCUGUUGUGGUGCAGGAUGGGCCCGCGGCAUAUCAGCGUGGGGGUGGGGUAAUGGCCUACCAAGGGGACGACGGGUAGCCGACCUGGGAGGGUGACCGGCCACACUGUGACUGAGGAGCCGCCCAGACUGAUACGGGAGGCAGCGGUGGGGAAGAGUACACAAUGGGCGGAGGCCUUGUGCAGCGACGCCGCGUGAGGGAUGAAGGCCUUCGGGUUGUAAACCUCUUGCAGCAGGGACGAAGCGUGAGUGACGGUACCUUCAGAAGAAGCACCGGCUAACUACGUGCCAGCCGCCGCUGUAA